GAUGAAGAACGUAGCGAAAUGCGAUAAGUAAUGUGAAUUGCAGAAUUCAGUGAAUCAUCGAAUCUUUGAACGCACAUUGCGCCCCCUGGUAUUCCGGGGGGCAUGCCUGUCCGAGCGUCAUUACAACCCUCAAGCUCAGCUUGGUGUUGGGCCCCGCCGCCCCGGCGGGCCCUAAAGUCAGUGGCGGUGCCGUCCGGCUCCGAGCGUAGUAAUUCUUCUCGCUCUGGAGGUCCGGUCGUGUGCUCGCCAGCAACCCCCAAUUUUUUUCAGGUUGACCUCGGAUCAGGUAGGAAUACCCGCUGAACUUAAGCAUAUCAAUAAGCGGAUGA
rnacentral:misc_RNA from 1 species